rnacentral:rRNA from 1 species
UACGUAGGCAGCGAGCGUUGUUCGGAGUUACUGGGCGUAAAGGGUGUGUAGGCGGUUGUUUAAGUUUGGUGUGAAAUCUCCCGGCUCAACUGGGAGGUGCGCCGAAUACUGAAUGACUUGGAGUGCGGGAGAGGAGAGUGGAAUUCCUGGUGUAGCGGUGAAAUGCGUAGAUAUCAGGAGGAACACCAAUGGCGAAGGCAGCACUCUGGGACGUGACUGACGCUGAGACGCGAAAGCGUGGGGAGCAAACAGG